CAUAUUGGAAAAAAACUGGACAUACUCAGAGAGUUAGUGGAAAUACAUAGAAACAACAUCCGAGCUGGUUUUGCAAUUUUUCCUUAUACAGACUAUGAAAACACUGCUGUAGUUCUUUGAUAACUUGUACAUGUUGUUGUGAUGUAACAAAUUACUUUUCAUAAACUACAUGUACAAAAUGAAAGAAAGAAGGUUAGAAUGCAAAACUGGUGAAGAUGAAGGUUAUAAUUGUGAUCUACAUAUUGAUUAAUUUGAAGCAGAAUUUGUUCUUAAGAGUGAAAUAAAAAAAAA